rnacentral:rRNA from 1 species
UUUUCGUUAAGUCUGAUGUGAAAGACCUUCGGCUUAACCGGAGAAGUGCAUCGGAAACUAGGAUAACUUGAGUGCAGAAGAGGGUAGGUGGAAACUCCAUGUGUAGCGGUGGAAUGCGUAGAUAUAUGGAAGAACACCAGUGGCGAAGGCGGCUACCUGGUCUGCAACUGACGCUGAGACUCGAAAGCAUGGGUAGCGAACAGGAUUAGAUACCCUGGUAG